UUUUCAGUGUCGCAGUGAAAACUAUAAACACACCGCCUGGGGAGUACGACCGCAAGGUUAAAACUCAAAUGAAUUGACGGGGACCCGCACAAGUAGUGGAGCAUGUGGUUUAAUUCGAAGAUACGCGCAGAACCUUACCAACACUUGACAUGUUCGUCGCGACUCUAAGAGAUUAGAGUUUUCGGUUCGGCCGGACGAAACACAGGUGCUGCAUGGCUGUCGUCAGCUCGUGUCGUGAGAUGUUGGGUUAAGUCCCGCAACGAGCGCAACCCUUACUUUUAGUUGCCAUCAUUUAGUUGGGCACUCUGAAAGAACUGCCAGUGAUAAGCUGGAGGAAGGUGGGGAUGACGUCAAGUCCUCAUGGCCCUUAUGUGUUGGGCUACACACGUGCUACAAUGGCAUUUACAAUAGGAAGCAAGAUGGCGACAUCAAGCAAAUCCUAAAAAAAUGCCUCAGUUCGGAUUGCACUCUGCAACUCGAGUGCAUGAAGCUGGAAUUACUAGUAAUCGCGGAUCAGCGUGCCGCGGUGAAUGCGUUCCCGGGUCUUGUACACACCGCCCGUCACACCAUGGGAGUUGGUUCUACCUUAAGGCAAAGCUUAAAACCUUUGACCACGGUAUAGUCAGCGACUGGGGUGAAGUCGUAACAAGGUAGCCGUAGGGGAACCUGCGGCUGGAUUACCUCCUU
rnacentral:rRNA from 1 species